rnacentral:rRNA from 1 species
AGUAAUAAAGGUCCAUCCGAGUGUGUUUUGUUUUGCAGGUACCAAUAGAAUGAGGAACUCGAUUAUUGCGUAGGCUGCAGCGGUGGUAAUAGAAGAAAGCUCCGAUCGUCUCUCCGGAUUUGUGGGCUUAAAAGGGAGUCGUAGGGAGUAGAAUCAGUGUGUGUAAAACGUAGACGCUAGUCGUCAGUCUUUCAGCACAUACUGUUAUCCUUGAGUACGCACAACUCGGAGGAUUCGUGGUGUAGCGGUGAAAUGCUAAGAUAUGUAGACGAACUCGGAUUGCGCAGUCAGCAGACUGGAGCUCAGCUGCAGAUCAAGCUGGAAGGUGCGGGUAUCGAACUGCAUUAGAUACCCAGGUAGUUCGCACAGAAACAGAUGAUUGCACUCUGUCGGUACGCAGUAUCAGUGGAUAGUCGAAAGCAUUAAGCAUCCCACCUGGGGAGUACGCAGGCAACGGUGAAUCUCAAAGGAAUUGACGGGGGCCCGCACAAGCGGAGGAACAUGUGGUUUAAUUCGAUGAUACGCGAGGAACCUUACCCGGGCUUGAAUUGCAGAGGAAGGAUUUAGAGAUAACGCCGCCUUUAGGGGUCUCUGUGAAGGUGGUUCAUGGUUGUCGUCAGCUCGUGCCGAUGAGGUGUCGGCUUAAGUUCCAUAACGAGCGCAACCCCUCUCUUCAGUUGCCAUCAGGUUAAGCUGGGCACUCUGGAGACACUGCCACCGUAAGGUGUGAGGAAGGUGGGGAGGACGUCAUCUCAGCACGGCCCUGACGUCGGGGGGUACACACGUGUUACAAUGGCCGCUCCAGAGGGACGGUGUAAUGUAAAUUGCAUCUAAUCUUGAAAGCCGGUCCCAGUUCGGUAAGGGGUCUGCAACCCGACCCCAUGAAGGGGGUUUCGCUUGUAAUCCCGCAUCAACCACGGCGCGCAGAACACGUUCCCGGGCCUUGUACACCCCGCCCGCCAAUCCAUCAAAACGGGCGGUGCCCGAAGUCCGUGACUGUAAGGAUCGGCCUAGGGCAAAACUGGUAAGUGGGGCUAAGUCGUGGCAAGGUAACC